UGAGUCAGAUUGAAGCAAUUAUGAUGAAACUACCCUUCUAUUUACAUUAUUGGACUAAAUAGUGACAAACCCAACAUAUUUUGUCUUGUUAGCCAAAUCAGUGAGCAGAGAUUUCAACUCAAAGCUUUCCUCUUCACAUACUUCUAACUCUUCCUACAGAACCUACUGACCCAUCACAGUUCUUUAAUGGCAAAGGGAUAUCCAAAGUAAAAGUUCAUUUCUAUUGCUGCUGGAAUAUCAGAUGUAAUUAUAGUCUACAAGCCAUAAAAACUAGGCUACAUGAAUAUUUCAUACAACAAUCUCAGAGUCACAGGCAUCUGCCAGAUUGUUGGAGUAAUUUCAAAUCAUUAGUAAUUUAUUCUUUCUUGAUUUGAGUGGCAAUGCUUUAUCAGUAGACAUUGAAUUUCAUGUUUUAAUAGCUUAAGUGAGCAUUUUCCUUUCUCAUUGAAGAAUUGCACAAGGCUAAUUAUGCUAGAUCUGGGGAAGAAUGGAUUAUCUGGAUUAAUACCUUCUUAGACAAGCAACACAUCGCAACAAUUGGUAUUGUUAAGCUUACCAAUGAAUCAAUUUUCUGGAAGUCUUCUGCAGAAUAUUUUGUUAGAACUUAACAAAUAUUCAGCUU